GAUGAACGCUGGCGGCGUGCUUAACACAUGCAAGUCGAACGAAGCAUUUAAGACAGAUUACUUCGGUUUGAAGUCUUUUAUGACUGAGUGGCGGACGGGUGAGUAACGCGUGGGUAACCUGCCUCAUACAGGGGGAUAGCAGCUGGAAACGGCUGGUAAUACCGCAUAAGCGCACAGUACCACAUGGUACAGUGUGAAAAACUCCGGUGGUAUGAGAUGGACCCGCGUCUGGUUAGCUUGUUGGCGGGGUAACGGCCCACCAAGGCGACGAUCAGUAGCCGACCUGAGAGGGUGACCGGCCACAUUGGGACUGAGACACGGCCCAGACUCCUACGGGAGGCAGCAGUGGGGAAUAUUGCACAAUGGAGGAAACUCUGAUGCAGCGACGCCGCGUGAGUGAAGAAGUAGUUCGCUAUGUAAAGCUCUAUCAGCAGGGAAGAUAGUGACGGUACCUGACUAAGAAGCUCCGGCUAAAUACGUG
rnacentral:rRNA from 1 species